rnacentral:piRNA from 1 species
UGAAAGCCGACAUGGAGACUAAGCAAA